UACGGAGGGUGCAAGCGUUAAUCGGAAUUACUGGGCGUAAAGCGUGCGCAGGCGGUUUGUUAAGUCUGUUGUGAAAUCCCCGAGCUCAACUUGGGAAUUGCAAUGGAUACUGGCAGGCUGGAGUAUGGUAGAGGAAGGUGGAAUUCCCGGUGUAGCAGUGAAAUGCGUAGAGAUGUGGAGGAACACCAGUGGCGAAGGCGGCUCUUUGGUCUGUAACUGACGCUGAGGCGCGAAAGCGUGGGGAGCAAACAGG
rnacentral:rRNA from 1 species